rnacentral:misc_RNA from 1 species
AAAAAAUUGAUGAAGAGGCUGGAAGGGAAGGAACAUUUUGGCCUGGUGAAUGGCUUCCAUCUGAUUUUCCUCAUGCCCGUCUGUUUAGUGUCAAGUACAAGAGCAGUCUAACCCAGUGGUCCGGGGCAAGCCUACCUCUUCAGGAAGUAAGUGCCAUGCUGUUGGAGAAGCUUGUUGCUGCAGGCAUCGGCAAUCGACCAGUUGUAUUCAUUUCACAUAGCAUGGGCGGCCUCGUUGUCAAGCAGAUGU